rnacentral:lncRNA from 1 species
CUUCAGGGCUGCUUAAUUCAGCAGCUCAAUAACAUCAUCAAAGAUUCAGAUUCUUUCCACUGUUCUGUCAUCCUCAGGAUGUUGACUCUGACCUCAGACUGGCCCAGCUUAGUCACAGAUUGAGUACAGAAGUUCCAGGCGUCAGGCAUUUCAGUGUCCAAAGGACGAAGAGAUCGUCUCUUCCUCUUAUCUUCCUUGGAAGCCAAGAAUCUUUCUCAGAAAUCCUCCAGAACAUCUCCCCCCAACAUUUCUUUGCCAGAAAUGUGUCAUAGCCACCCUCAUGUCAUGGGGAAUCAGACCCUCAUUUAUUCCUCGGUCUGCAGAUGGGUCUUUCCAUCUGGAGGCAUGUGGGAAAGAGGCAGAUGUUCGGACACAACCAGGGGGAUCUGCCAGCCAUGGAAGAAGAGAGAAUGGAUAUUGUGGAGUGAAGGAGUGGCGUUUCCUACAUUAGUGCGCCCAGUUAAAACCUGCUGUGCUUCCCUUGGUGGGCCGCAGAGUUUGCUUGCUCUAGGGCAGCAAGACAUGUCAAACCAUGGUGCUGGAGAAAUAGAGUGUUCCGGAGAUCAGACUUCUUCCUCAUGCUGCAACUUCUGCCCGGCCUAGGAGAGAAGAACAUCUCAAAAUUCACCUGCAAAAAGGGAGGGAAAGAGCAAGAGAGAGUCCACCUACUUUGGAAAAAUGCCACAGUUACCACUGACCAACAAAAGCUCUACCUGAGUUGGGAGUGCAAAACUAGACCCUUUGGCUCGAUCAUUGAAAUUUCUGUAGUCUGAUCUCCUAGCAGGCACACACAGACACACACAGACACACAUACUCAGACACACACACAAUUUAUGUAUAUAUAAGAAGAACUAGCUGUGCCUCUAAAGGACCCUUCAUUGGGGUACCUGGCUGACUCAAUCAGUAGAGCAUGUGACUCUUGACCUCAGGGUCAUGAGUUCAAGCCCCACGUUGGGUGUACAGCUCUACUUAAAAAUAAAUUUAAAAAAAAUAAUUUUAAAAAACCCA